AUCUAUGUCCAUACCACCCUGAACUCACCCAGUCUCGUCUGAUCUCAGAAGUUAAGCAGGGUCGGGCCUGGUUAGUACUUGGGUGGGUGGAGUGGAUGCUAGUUAUUGAGCUAAGGCGAUGUCAGCU
ensembl:rRNA 5S_rRNA 5S ribosomal RNA